CUGCCAUCAACGGGAGGCAGGGACGCUGCGUGUGUGAGGUGUGAGCAGGUGGAUGACCUGGUCCGCAUGGUGGCGGAGCUCAAGGAGGAGGUGGAGAGGCUGAGGGCCAUUAGGGAGUGUGAGCGGGAGAUUGACUUCUGGAGCAACUCCCUGCAGGGCAUCAAGGAGAGGUACCGGGGUGAGACACCCCAAACGGGGGUGGACCCCUUGCCCUGUCGCCGUCGGGCUGAGGGAGGGGAUCUGGGAACUGAGGAGGAGUGGAGACAGGUCCCUGUGCGACGUGGCAGGCGAUGCCCUCCCCCUCCGGCCCCACCUUCCCAGGUGCCCUUACAAAACAGGUUUGAGGCCCUGGAGAUUGAGAGACCGGUAGCUGAGGAAGAGAUAGAAAGUGUUCCCAGGAGGAUGCCUAGGGCGAGGAGGUCGACUCCACGCAUCAGGACUGCCUCCACCAAGAAAGAAAGAAGGGUGAUUGUUGUGGGAGACUCUGUCCUUAGGGGGACAGAGGGCCCUAUUUGUCGGCCUGACCCUACCCGUAGGGAAGUCUGCUGCCUCCCUGGGGCCAGGGUCAGGGACGUGGCCAGGAAGCUCCCCAACCUGGUGCGCCCCUCUGAUUAUUAUCCGCUCCUGAUAAUCCAGGCGGGCACUGAUGACAUUGACAACAGAAGCCUGAAGGCUAUCAAAAGAGACUUUAGGGGACUGGGACGGUUAGUGGACGGAGCAGGAGUGCAAGUAGUUUUUUCGUCCGUCCCUACGUUGACAGGAAGGGGUACGGAGAGGACAACGAAAGCCCACCUGUUAAACACGUGGCUCCGGGGCUGGUGCCUACGCAGAAAUCUUGGGUUUUUCGACCAUGGGGCAGUUUACUCAGCACCUGGUCUGGUGGCCGUAGACGGGUCCCUAUCCUUUAGGGGAAAAAGGAUCCUGGGCCAGGAGCUGGCGGGGCUCAUUGAUAGGGCUUUAAACUAGGUAAGAAGGGGGAUGGGGCUGGAGCGAGGACUGUUGGGGCUGUACCAGGGGGAGCAGUGGCAAGGCCGGAGGAUAAGGUAAAGGCCCAGCUGAAGUGCAUCUACACCAAUGCACGCAGCAUGGG
rnacentral:lncRNA from 1 species